AGAAGUCUGUUCCUCCUGGCUGGUGUCAGAAGUAACCAGGCUGAAGCCAUGCUCUGAAAGAACCUGUGCAGGGAGAGAAAGACCUGUUUGAGACCGACCUGAAAGCUCUCGCAGGGGAAAGAACAGGGGGUUCCAAUGAUUCCUGUAGUUCACUGAGCUCUUGUAAAGAAGCAACCGUUUUUCCUGACCUUGACACUCAAGCAUUUUUGAUGGUUCUAGAAGUACCCAUUUUCAGCUUCCCUUGCUGCCGUUGAGAAGUCUGUUGAUUUCAUACUCCGCUGUAAGUAAUCCAUUUUUUCCUCGCAUAUGCUAAUUUUGAGAUCUUCUCUGCCUUUAUUGUUUUGCCAUUUCACUAAAAUAUGUUUAGAGAUAUAUAAAUUCUGCUUGGACUCUAUUGUGCUUCCAGAAUUGGAAGAUCAAUGUCUUUCAUUAAUUAUGGAACAUUCUUGGUCAUGGACUCAUUGAAUGAAUGUUUCCUUUUCUCCAUUAUUUCUAUUCUUUUCUUCUGAAACUUCAGUAGUCAUAUGUUAGUCCUUUUAACUCCAUCUGCCUUGUUUCGUAACUUCUCUCUCAUGUUUUCCCAUACUGCUUUUUAGCAUCCUGAGCAAUAUUCAGAUCCAUCUCCUGGUUUACUAUUUUUAUUUCCAUAAAUUUCACUGGAUUCUUUUUCAAUUCUGCCUGGCCAUUUUUUGAUGGUAUUUUGUUUUCAGUCUCAUUUUAAGUUUCUUCCUUUUAAAGAAUAUUUUAUACAUAAUUAUUUAUAUUUACUAUCUAAUAAUUUAAAUGUCUGAACUCUGGGUGUGUAAUCUUCUCUCCUGCUCUUUUUCAUGAUGGUUUGUUUUCCGUUUAUGAAUUUAGCAGUUGAAUGUUUUGUACUCACGUUUGGCCAAACUUAAUUCGUGGAAAUCUGUGGGAGACUGUAAAAAUAUCAGUGGUUGCCAGGGUAUAGAUGAACAAGUGAAGCACUGAGGAUUUUUAGGCAGGGAAGCCACUCUGUGUGAUUACUACAAUGGUGGCCACAUGUCAUCAUACACCCAUGAAAACCCAUAGCAUGUGCAAUGCAAACAGUGAAUCCUAACAUAAACUCUAGAUUCUAGUUAAUCAUAAUGCAUCACUAUUGGCUUAUUAAUUGUAAUGUGCCACACUAAUGCAAGAUAUUAAAAUAGAAAUUGGGAGGAGGUGGGGCAUAUGGGAAUCCAUUGUAUAAUACUUUACUUUAUGCUCAGUUUUUUUAUAAACCUGUAACUGUCAAAAGCCUAUUCAUUUUUUUAAAUGUAGAGAUAAAAAAAAAAACAAAAAAAAGUUAACCUUUGUGAUUUGGACUUAAACAGGGAACCCUAUCUCAGGGUCAUGAGAGAAAAGAACCAAGUGUCUCCUUCUGUGAACUGAAGGGCAUCAAGAAGAGUGGCGUUUUAGUGGCAUAGGGGAAGUCACUUUCUUUUGCCAUCUAAAGUUUCAGGGUACAUGUGCAGGUUUGUUACAUAUGUAUACAUGUGCCAUGUUGGUGUGCUGCACCCAUUAACUCUUCAUUUAACAUUAGGUUUAUCUCCUAAUGCUAUCCCUCCCCCCUCCCCCCACCCCACAACAGGCCCCAGUGUGUGAUGUUCCCCUUCCUGUGUCCAUGUGAUCUCAUUGCUCAAUUCCCACCUAUGAGUGAGAACAAGUGGUGUUUGGUUUUUUGUCCUUGCAAUAGUUUGCUGAGAGUGAUGGUGUCCAGCUUCAUCCAUGUCCCUACAAAGGACAUGAACUCAUCAUUUUUUAUGGCUGCAUCGUAUUCCAUGGUGUAUAUGUACCACAUUUUCUUUUUUUUAAUUUUAUUAUUAUUGUACUUCAAGUUUUAGGGUACAUGUGCACAAUGUUCAGGUUACAUAUGUAUACAUGUGCCAUGUUGGUGUGCUGCACCCAUUAACUCGUCAUUUAGCAUUAGGUAUAUCUCCUAAUGGUAUCCCUUCCCUCUCCCCCUACCCCACAACAGUCCCCAGUGUGUGAUGUUCCCCUUCCUGUGUCCAUGUGUUCUCAUUGUUCAAUUCCCACCUAUGAGUGAGAACAUGUGGUGUUUGGUUUUUUGUCCUGGUGACAGUUUGCUGAGAAUGAUGGUUUCCAGUUUCAUCCAUGUGCCUACAAAGGACAUGAACUCAUCAUUUUUUAUGGCUGCAUAGUAUUCCAUGGCGUAUAUGUGCCACAUUUUCUUAAUCCAGUCUAUCAUUGUUGGACAUUUAGGUUGGUUCCAAGACUUUGCUAUUGUGAAUAGUGC
rnacentral:lncRNA from 1 species